rnacentral:rRNA from 1 species
GGUGAGGUAACGGCUCACCAAGGCGACGAUGCGUAGCCGACCUGAGAGGGUGAUCGGCCACACUGGGACUGAGACACGGCCCAGACUCCUACGGGAGGCAGCAGUAGGGAAUCUUCCGCAAUGGACGAAAGUCUGACGGAGCAACGCCGCGUGAGUGAUGAAGGUUUUCGGAUCGUAAAGCUCUGUUGUUAGGGAAGAACAAGUGCCGUUCGAAUAGGGCGGCACCUUGACGGUACCUAACCAGAAAGCCACGGCUAACUACGUGCCAGCAGCCGCGGUAAUACGUAGGUGGCAAGCGUUGUCCGGAAUUAUUGGGCGUAAAGCGCGCGCAGGCGGUCUCUUAAGUCUGAUGUGAAAGCCCACGGCUCAACCGUGGAGGGUCAUUGGAAACUGGGGGACUUGAGUACAGAAGAGGAAAGUGGAAUUCCACGUGUAGCGGUGAAAUGCGUAGAUAUGUGGAGGAACACCAGUGGCGAAGGCGACUUUCUGGUCUGUAACUGACGCUGAGGCGCGAAAGCGUGGGGAGCAAACAGGAUUAGAUAGCCCUGGUAGUCCACGCCGUAAACGAUGAGUGCUAAGUGUUAGAGGGUUUCCGCCCUUUAGUGCUGCAGCUAACGCAUUAAGCACUCCGCCUGGGGAGUACGGUCGCAAGACUGAAACUCAAAGGAAUUGACGGGGGCCCGCACAAGCGGUGGAGCAUGUGGUUUAAUUCGAAGCAACGCGAAGAACCUUACCAGGUCUUGACAUCCUCUGACAACCCUAGAGAUAGGGCUUUCCCCUUCGGGGGACAGAGUGACAGGUGGUGCAUGGUUGUCGUCAGCUCGUGUCGUGAGAUGUUGGGUUAAGUCCCGCAACGAGCGCAACCCUUGAUCUUAGUUGCCAGCAUUCAGUUGGGCACUCUAAGAUGACUGCCGGUGACAAACCGGAGGAAGGUGGGGAUGACGUCAAAUCAUCAUGCCCCUUAUGACCUGGGCUACACACCUGCUACAAU